CGUCACCCUCUAACCGCAUGACAUGAGCUUAAAAAGACGCCAGCAAACCAGCUCCUCACUCCAACACACAAGCUUGUUUCUGGCUGCUGCACAGGCGAGGUUUGACUCAUUCUCCGCAGCAUCUUGUCCUCAAGGGUGACCAGCAGUGAGUAAACAGAGAUACAAUCCCAAAGCAAGGCAUGGCACGCAAGCUGUUUCUAGUCAUUGUGCUCUUUGUUCUGGUGGGACAAUUGUAUGGGCAGAUGUCAGAUGACGAUGAAGACCAGAUCAUAAUGGCCGAGCUUGAUAAAGUCGCAGAUGAAAUGCAAGAUGGCAACGCAAUGGUCCGUGACAAGCGUUUUUUAUUUUUUAAUCCGCAUUUUUCAGCACGCGGUUUAAAAAAAUAGCACCACCACCACCACAUUAUUAGUGCACUUGACCACUGAUACACCAGUGAGCCAACAGAGAAUUUUGCACACAUUCAGAGAUUCUGUGAAAUGAACAAAACACAGUUCUCCUGUGUGUGAAGAAAUAAAGAAUUUCAGAAGCAUUUA